rnacentral:sRNA from 1 species
ACUGAGCGGUGUCCUGAGCCGAUUGCAGCUAGGUAGUAGAGUGUCGCUGCCUACCUGGGUGCAGGAAACAGCUGGAGUCGCUGGGGGAGCUCCGCGCCGCCGGACGCCCGUGACCAUGUGGAGGCUGCUGGCUCGCGCUAGUGCGCCGCUCCUGCGGGUGCCCUUGUCAGAUUCUUGGGCACCCCUCCCCGCCAGUGCUGGCCUAAAGACACUGCUCCCAGUACCAGGUUUUGAAGGUGAGAGCUUGUCUUUCUCCUGUUUGUAAAUCUUUUCUCUGAUGGAAACCAGGAGCGGGUGGGAGAUGACAUAGGAAUGUUCUCGUGUUUCCCAUCCCCGUUCACUCUUUCAAUAAAUAUGUUUUUAGAGCUUACAGUUUUGCCAACCAAUAUUCUGAGCACUAGAAAUAGAGAACAAAGGAAACCAAAAAAGUUCCCUGCUCUUACGGAGCAGCGUCUAAUGAGAUAGCUCCCCUAACACCUCCCACUGGUGCGUGUCCCAUGGUCCACUCAGCCAGUAGUCAUUGGCCUGAAAUCUGGAUUUUUGGGCGGGCAUG